GAUGAAGAACGUAGCGAAAUGCGAUAAGUAAUGCGAAUUGCAGAAUUCAGUGAAUCAUCGAAUCUUUGAACGCACAUUGCGCCCUUUGGUAUUCCUUAGGGCAUGCCUGUUCGAGCGUCAUUUAAACCUUCAAGCUCAGCUUGGUGUUGGGUGACUGUCCGCUUCACCGCGGACUCGCCUCAAAAUUAUUGGCGGCCGGUACAUUGGCUUCGAGCGCAGCAGAAACGCGAACUCGGGCCCGUCGUAUUGGCUCCCAGAAGCUAUCUUCACAAUUUUGACCUCGGAUCAGGUAGGGAUACCCGCUGAACUUAAGCAUAUCAAUAAGCGGAGGA
rnacentral:misc_RNA from 1 species